CCUCUGCUUCUAGAGUUCCAAGGUUGCGAUAUGCCUCCCAGCAAAGGCAGUUCAAUCAGGCAACCAUUCAUUAUGUACUCAGCCACCAACUGCUGAGAGGUUACCCUGUGCCAGGCACUGGAGAUGUGGAAAUAGACCAGGCCUGCUCUCAAGGAGCCCCCAGGUCUCUGCUGAAGCGCAGAAGAGGGACACAGUUUUGAUCCUGUGUGCACUGUUUAAAACGAAAUAAAAACAACUUUGAAAACAAUCGCAGACCAGUGGAAGAGACAAGCUUAAUUAAACUGCUCACUCUGGCUUGGAGGGGCGUUCCCAUUCGUCCGCGUUCAAGAGGAUGUCCUCUGCUAAUAUUAAACAGCUGAUCUAAGUGUUUAUUACGGCCAGGCGCUGUGUCUGGGGCUCCAAAGACGUUCUCUCUUCUCCUUCACAAGCACCGAAUGAGAUGGGGACUGUGAUUGCCCCAUUUUAGAGAGGAGGAAGACUAAGAAUUCUGCAGAAGUUGCGGCAGUAAGUUAGUGGUGGGACCAGAGCUGGAAUCCCAGACUAUCUGGCUCUCAAGCAUCUAUCUACCUCCACGAUGUGCUGUCCCCACAGCACCUCUCCAGAGCUUCUGAGCAAGGGUCUUGGAGCAAAGUGGGUUUGCGGCCCUUGAGGAAUGGAAGUAAAAUGUGCACAUUGGGUAGUUUUUGUUUUUAAGUACCUUCAACUCAAAACACAUGUUUUUUUAAUUGUUUAAGGCAGUUUGAAUUGGAUGUUACAAUUGAAAGUGUCCUUAUUGAGACCGAAUUUACAUAAAGCUAUUUGACCAUUUUAAAGUCUGCAGUUCAUUUUUUAUUAUAGUCACAAAAUUGCACAUCCAUUACCAGAACAUUUUCA